AAUAGAAGAAUGAUAAAUCAGAUUUUUUCUUCUGAUUUUUAGCUUUUUCCUCCUAAAAAAAAUCAAAUCCAACUAAAAAUACUAAAACUCAAGAGAAAAAAUCGGAUUUAUCAUUCUCUUAUU
rfam:Gossypium raimondii Chr03_contig_791, whole genome shotgun sequence.